rnacentral:rRNA from 1 species
CCUACGGGUGACAGCAGUGAGGAAUAUUGGUCAAUGGGCGCGAGCCUGAACCAGCCAAGUCGCGUGAGGGAAGACGGUCCUAUGGAUUGUAAACCUCUUUUGUCGGGGAGCAAAAGACGCCACGCGUCGCGUUCCGAGAGUACCCGAAGAAAAAGCAUCGGCUAACUCCGUGCCAGCAGCCGCGGUAAUACGGAGGAUGCGAGCGUUAUCCGGAUUUAUUGGGUUUAAAGGGUGCGCAGGCGGAAGAUCAAGUCAGCGGUAAAAUUGAGGGGCUCAACCUCUUCGAGCCGUUGAAACUGGUUGUCUUGAGUGAGCGAGAAGUAUGCGGAAUGCGUGGUGUAGCGGUGAAAUGCAUAGAUAUCACGCAGAACUCCGAUUGCGAAGGCAGCAUACCGGCGCUCAACUGACGCUCAUGCACGAAAGUGUGGGUAUCGAACAGGAUUAGAUACCCUAGUAGUC